AUAAACAAUUUAAUGCUUAAAUAAAAGUUAGAAGCUUUUAAUAAUUUAUUUCAA
rnacentral:tRNA from 2 species